rnacentral:rRNA from 1 species
UACGUAGGGUGCAAGCGUUGUCCGGAAUCAUUGGGCGUAAAGAGCGUGUAGGCGGCCCGGUAAGUCCGCUGUGAAAGUCGGGGGCUCAACCCUCGAAUGCCGGUGGAUACUGUCGGGCUAGAGUGCGGAAGAGGCGAGUGGAAUUCCUGGUGUAGCGGUGAAAUGCGCAGAUAUCGGGAGGAACACCUAUGGCGAAGGCAGCUCGCUGGGACGUUACUGACGCUGAGACGCGAAAGCGUGGGGAGCAAACAGG